UAGUCCACGCCGUAAACGAUGGUUACUAGCUGUUUGGACCAAUUGAGGUCUAAGUGGCCAAGCGAAAGUGAUAAGUAACCCACCUGGGGAGUACGUUCGCAAGAAUGAAACUCAAAGGAGUUGACGGGGGCCCGCACAAGCGGUGGAGCAUGUGGUUUAAUUCGAUGAUACGCGAGGAACCUUACCAGGGCUUAAAUGCAGUACGACAGAUUUGGAAACAGAUUUUUCUUCGGACAUAUUGCAAGGUGCUGCAUGGUUGUCGUCAGCUCGUGCCGUGAGGUGUCAGGUUAAGUCCUAUAACGAGCGCAACCCCUAUUGCUAGUUGCCAGCGAGUGAUGUCGGGAACUCUAACAAGACUGCCAGUGCAAACUGUGAGGAAGGUGGGGAUGACGUCAAAUCAUCACGGCCCUUACGUCCUGGGCUACACACGCGCUACAAUGGUAGGGACAGAGAGCAGCCACUUCGCGAGAAGGAGCGAAUCUACAAACCCUAUCACAGUUCGGAUC
rnacentral:rRNA from 1 species